rnacentral:rRNA from 1 species
GUUCCUACGGGACGCAGCAGUGGGGAAUAUUGCACAAUGGGGGAAACCCUGAUGCAGCGACGCCGCGUGAGUGAAGAAGCGUUUCGGCGCGUAAAGCUCUGUCAGCGGGGAAGAAACACGGUUCGCGAGAGCCGCGGACGGUACCCGACCAAGAAGCCACGGCUAACUACGUGCCAGCAGCCGCGGUAAUACGUAGGUGGCAAGCGUUAUCCGGAUUUAUUGGGUGGAAAGGGCGUGUAGGCGGGAAAGCAAGUCAGAUGUGAAAACUCAGGGCUCAACCCUGAGCCUGCAUUUGGAACUGUUUU